CAAUAGCGUAUAUUAAAGUUGUUGCAGUUAGAACGCUCGUAGUCGGAUUUCGGGGCGGUCCUGCCGGUCUGCCGAUGGGUACGCACUGGUGGGAGCGUCCUUUUUGCCGGAGACCGUGCCUACUCUUAACUGAGCGGGUGCGGGAGACGGCACUUUUACUUUGAAAAACUCAGAGUGUUUCAAGCAGGCAGCUCGCUCUUGCAUGGAUUAGCAUGGGAUAAUGAAAUAGGACUCUGGUGCUAUUUUGUUGGUUUCGAACACCGGAGUAAUGAUUAAAAGGGGCAGUCAGGGGCACUCGUAUUCCGUCGAGAGAGGUGAAAUUCUCAGACCAAUGGAAGACGAACCACUGCGAAAGCAUUUGCCAGGGAUGUUUUCACUGAUCAAGAACGAAAGUUAGGGGAUCGAAGACGAUCAGAUACCGU
rnacentral:rRNA from 1 species